rnacentral:rRNA from 1 species
UACGUAGGGUCCGAGCGUUGUCCGGAAUUACUGGGCGUAAAGAGCUCGUAGGUGGUUUGUCGCGUUGUUCGUGAAAACUCACAGCUUAACUGUGGGCGUGCGGGCGAUACGGGCAGACUGGAGUACUGCAGGGGAGACUGGAAUUCCUGGUGUAGCGGUGAAAUGCGCAGAUAUCAGGAGGAACACCGGUGGCGAAGGCGGGUCUCUGGGCAGUAACUGACGCUGAGGAGCGAAAGCGUGGGGAGCGAACAGG